UGCAGUCGAGCGGACUUAUAAAAGCUUGCUUUUGUAAGUCAGCGGCGGACGGGUGAGUAACACGUGGGCAACCUGCCUAUAAGACUGGGAUAACUUCGGGAAACCGGAGCUAAUACCGGAUAAUAUAAAGAACCUCCUGGUUCUUUAUUGAAAGACGGUUUCGGCUGUCACUUAUAGAUGGGCCCGCGGCGCAUUAGCUAGUUGGUGAGGUAACGGCUCACCAAGGCGACGAUGCGUAGCCGACCUGAGAGGGUGAUCGGCCACACUGGGACUGAGACACGGCCCAGACUCCUACGGGAGGCAGCAGUAGGGAAUCUUCCACAAUGGACGAAAGUCUGAUGGAGCAACGCCGCGUGAGCGAUGAAGGCCUUCGGGUCGUAAAGCUCUGUUGUUAGGGAAGAACAAGUGCGAGAGUAACUGCUCGCACCUUGACGGUACCUAACCAGAAAGCCACGGCUAACUACGUGCCAGCAGCCGCGGUAAUACGUAGGUGGCAAGCGUUGUCCGGAAUUAUUGGGCGUAAAGCGCGCGCAGGUGGUUCCUUAAGUCUGAUGUGAAAGCCCACGGCUCAACCGUGGAGGGGUCAUUGGAA
rnacentral:rRNA from 1 species